rnacentral:tRNA from 1 species
UCCUCAAUAGCUCAGUUGGUUAGAGCAUCUGACUGUUAAUCAGAGGGUCUCAGGUUCAAGUCCUGAUUGGGGAGCCA